GGCAGUUCUCGGGUGAUGCACCAGAACUGGGUUCCCUCCUCUCUGGUUCCGGGUAUGUCAUCGGAGAACAGCA
rfam:Myotis lucifugus cont2.23520, whole genome shotgun sequence.